rnacentral:rRNA from 1 species
UGGGGAAUCUUGCGCAAUGCGCGAAAGCGUGACGCAGCAACGCCGCGUGGAUGAAGAAGGCCUUCGGGUUGUAAAGUCCUUUCAGUUGGGACGAAGGUCAGACGGUGAAUAGCCGCUCUGAUUGACGGUACCUUCAGAAGAAGCCCCGGCUAACUACGUGCCAGCAGCCGCGGUAAUACGUAGGGGGCAAGCGUUGUCCGGAAUCAUUGGGCGUAAAGCGCGUGUAGGCGGUUCGAUAAGUCUGCUGUGAAAGUCCAGGGCUCAACCCUGGGAUGCCGGUGGAUACUGUCGGGCUAGAGUGCGGAAGAGGCGAGUGGAAUUCCUGGUGUAGCGGUGAAAUGCGCAGAUAUCAGGAGGAACACCAAUUGCGAAGGCAGCUCGCUGGGACGUUACUGACGCUGAGACGCGAAAGCGUGGGGAGCAAACAGG